rnacentral:miRNA from 1 species
UGAUAUGCUAAAGUGUCGGUU